rnacentral:pre_miRNA from 8 species
GGAAGAGGAGGAAGCCCUGGAGGGGCUGGAGGUGAUGGAUGUUUUCCUCCGGUUCUCAGGGCUCCACCUUUUCCG